UUUUUUAAUUGGAAACUGGAAUGAAUGGUUGGAACUAACAGGGAUGUUUUAUUUUAUAAGUUUGAAUUUAAAUUAAAAAUAAAAAUGUUUUUAUAAAUUCUUGGGACGAGAAGACCCUAGAAGCUUUAAAAUUUUAGAUUUUUAAAUUGGGGCAAUUUUUGAAGAUAUAAAUUUUUAUAAGAAAAAAGGAUUGAAAGAGAAAGUUACUCUAGGGAUAACAGCGUUAUUUAAUUGAUAAGUUCUUAUUAAUAAUUAAGUUUGCGACCUCGAUGUUGAAUUAAUA
rnacentral:rRNA from 1 species